rnacentral:rRNA from 1 species
AGAGGUCUCAACCGUUGUUCGGAUUCAUUGGGCGUAAAGGGUGCGUAGGCGGUCGCGCAAGUUGGAUGUGAAAUCCCAGGGCUCAACCCUGAAACUGCAUUCGAUACUGCGUGGCUAGAGUGCUGGAGAGGAGACUGGAAUUUACGGUGUAGCAGUGAAAUGCGUAGAUAUCGUAAGGAAGACCAGAGGCGAAGGCGAGUCUCUGGACAGCAACUGACGCUGAGGCACGAAGGCCAGGGGAGCAAACGGGAUUAGAUACCCCGGUAGUCCUGGCAGUAAACGGUGCACGUUUGGUGUAGGCGGAUUCGACCCCGCCUGUGCCGGAGCUAACGCGUUAAACGUGCCGCCUGGGAAGUACGGUCGCAAGAUUA